ACCCUACGGGCGCAGCAGUGAGGAAUAUUGGUCAAUGGGCGGGAGCCUGAACCAGCCAAGUCGCAUGAGGGAAGACGGUCCUAGGGAUUGUAAACCUCUUUCGGCGGGGAGCAAUGCCGGGCACGCGUGCCCGGAGGGAGAGUACCCGCAGAAUAAGCAUCGGCUAACUCCGUGCCAGCAGCCGCGGUAAUACGGAGGAUGCGAGCGUUAUCCGGAUUUAUUGGGUUUAAAGGGUGCGUAGGCGGAUUUUUAAGUCAGCGGUAAAAUGUCCGGGCUCAACCCGGGCCGGCCGUUGAAACUGGGGG
rnacentral:rRNA from 1 species